rnacentral:rRNA from 1 species
CCUACGGGAGGCUGCAGUGAGGAAUAUUGGUCAAUGGACGAGAGUCUGAACCAGCCAAGUAGCGUGAAGGAUGAAUGCCCUAUGGGUUGUAAACUUCUUUUAUAUGGGUAUAAAAUGUUCCACGUGUGGGAUUUUGUAUGUACCAUAUGAAUAAGGAUCGGCUAACUCCGUGCCAGCAGCCGCGGUAAUACGGAGGAUCCGAGCGUUAUCCGGAUUUAUUGGGUUUAAAGGGAGCGUAGGUGGAUUGUUAAGUCAGUUGGGAAAGUUUGCGGCUCAACCGUAAAAUUGCAGUUGAAACUGGCAGUCUUGAGUACAGUAGAGGUGGGCGGAAUUCGUGGUGUAGCGGUGAAAUGCUUAGAUAUCACGAAGAACUCCGAUUGCGAAGGCAGCUCACUGGACUGCAACUGACAUUGAUGCUCGAAAGUGUGGGUAUCAAACAGGAUUAGAUACCCGGGUAGUC